UACGUAGGGGGCAAGCGUUGUCCGGAAUUAUUGGGCGUAAAGAGCGCGUAGGCGGUCCGGUAAGUCGGUUGUGAAAGUCGGGGGCUCAACCCUCGGAUGCCGAUCGAUACUGUCGGGCUAGAGUCCGGAAGAGGCGAGUGGAAUUCCCGGUGUAGCGGUGAAAUGCGCAGAUAUCAGGAAGAACACCUAUGGCGAAGGCAGCACUCUGGGACGGUACUGACGCUGAGGCACGAAAGCGUGGGGAUCAAACAGG
rnacentral:rRNA from 1 species